rnacentral:rRNA from 1 species
UACGUAGGUGGCGAGCGUUAUCCGGAAUGAUUGGGCGUAAAGGGUGCGUAGGCGGGCUUUUAAGUCAGCGGUAAAAAUUCGGGGCUCAACCCCGUCCGGCCGUUGAAACUGGGGGUCUUGAGUGGGCGAGAAGAAGGCGGAAUGCGUGGUGUAGCGGUGAAAUGCAUAGAUAUCACGCAGAACCCCGAUUGCGAAGGCAGCCUUCCGGCGCCCUACUGACGCUGAGGCACGAAAGUGCGGGGAUCGAACAGG